rnacentral:snRNA from 1 species
UUUAGAUAUACCAAACUCCAAA